rnacentral:rRNA from 1 species
UACAUGGGGUGCAAACGUUGCUCGGAAUUACUGGGCGUAAAGGGCGCGUAGGCGGCCUGUUAAGUCGAACGUGAAAUCCCUCGGCUUAACCGGGGAACUGCGUCUGAUACUGGAUGGCUUGAGUUCGGGAGAGGGAUGCGGAAUUCCAGGUGUAGCGGUGAAAUGCGUAGAUAUCUGGAGGAACACCGGUGGCGAAGGCGGCAUCCUGGACCGAUACUGACGCUGAGGAGCGAAAGCCAGGGGAGGCAAACGGG